CCUACGGGAGGCAGCAGUGGGGGAUAUUGCACAAUGGGGGAAACCCUGAUGCAGCGACGCCGCGUGGGUGAAGAAGCGCCUCGGCGCGUAAAGCCCUGUCAGCAGGGAAGAAAAUGACGGUACCUGAAGAAGAAGCCCCGGCUAACUACGUGCCAGCAGCCGCGGUAAUACGUAGGGGGCAAGCGUUAACCGGAUUUACUGGGUGUAAAGGGGGCGCAGAUGGCGAUGCAAGCCAGGAGUGAAAGCCCGGGGCCCAACCCCGGGACUGCUGUUGGAACUGCGUGGCUAGAGUGCAGGAGGGGCAGGCGGAAUGCCUGGUGUAGCGGUGAAAUGCGUAGAUAUCAGGAGGAACACCGGUGGCGAAGGCGGCCUGCUGGACUGCAACUGACGUUGAGGCCCGAAAGCGUGGGGAGCAAACAGGAUUAGAUACCCUAGUAGUC
rnacentral:rRNA from 1 species